rnacentral:misc_RNA from 1 species
GAGUUGUGUUACAUGUGCCUAUUAGUGGAGGUUCUUGUUUUUACCAGCCUACCCAGUUCAAACAAUAUUCUUAUUUUACUGCGAAAUUUAAGUUAGCAUAACCAUGAAGUCCUGAUGAUUUUUUUUUAGCUACUAGGUUUUAAUUUGAAGUGUAGGCAUGAUGUACUAGUCAUGUUCGACAGCUCUUACAUUUGUGUUAGGUUCAACGAUUUUUUU